CUGAGCCGCCCACACUGCCUGACAGCCCGGGGCCUGGCACGCUGCCGUACCCGGUGUCUCCUACGUCCAGAGGCAUCCUGUCCGUCUGCGGAGGGACCCUGCGUUCCAACAUGAGACUCUGAUACACAUGCAGCCCAUGUGUGGAGCACAUAAACUCCGCCUCCUGCUGCAGUGCCUCUUGUGACACCCGGGGGGCGCCGGGGAAGCAGACAAUGAUGAUGCUGAUGUUGUCCAAGCUGCCCUGGAGAGGGA